AAUUAAUUUGCAGCCCUAAAUAGAUUUAUUACAAUAAAAGAAAAAAGAUAGACCUGUUGAGGGAUUCCUCAGUCUCACAAAAGCUGGGUCACUGUCGUUCUUCUGUGUGUCGAUGACAGAGUCUGUAGACACCAAAAAAAAAAGCUGCUUAAGGGAACGUCUGUGUUUCUGACUGCCAGGGAGAACAACAGCGGCCUUUCUGAUGCGCUGGACCACAGACAGCCCCAGAGAGCUGAGUCCUCUGUCACCAGCAUGCAGACGAGAACAAACCCUCUCUCACACUCCAUAAUCUGAGAAUCAUUCCUGGAACAGAAAAACAGAUGCUGAAUGAGAGCAGAGGACAGACAGACAGGCAAAAACAUGAAGGUGUUUGUAUCGAUGGAGACAGAGUGGCUACCCAGCAGUGACAGGUACCGGACGGCUGAGAGCCCGGCGUGUAGCCUUUAACUUACCUCAGAAGAUGAAUUGACCCAGCUGCUUCAUAAAAUAACUAGUCGGUCUUUUAGUGAAAUUGUUCCCAUGAUGGAUCUAUGCUUUUAUGUCAAAACUGUCAUUUUUCCACUAAACUAAAACGACUCGCCAUGAUUUCAUGUGCUCUGAAGGACUUCACAUUA